rnacentral:rRNA from 1 species
CCUACGGGUGGCAGCAGUGAGGAAUCUUGGUCAAUGGACGAGAGUCUGAACCAGCCAAGUCGCGUGAAGGAUGACUGCCCUAUGGGUUGUAAACUUCUUUUAUAUGGGAAUAAACUGUUCCACGUGUGGGCUUUUGUGUGUACCAUAUGAAUAAGGAUCGGCUAACUCCGUGCCAGCAGCCGCGGUAAUACGGAGGAUCCGAGCGUUAUCCGGAUUUAUUGGGUUUAAAGGGAGCGUAGGUGGAUUGUUAAGUCAGUUGUGAAAGUUUGCGGCUCAACCGUAAAAUUGCAGUUGAAACUGGCAGUCUUGAGUACAGGAGAGGUGGGCGGAAUGCGUGGUGUAGCGGUGAAAUGCUUAGAUAUCACGAAGAACUCCGAUUGCGAAGGCAGCUCACUGGACUGCAACUGACACUGAGGCUCGAAAGUGUGGGUAUCAAACAGGAUUAGAUACCCGAGUAGUC